AGGAUAUAAAUAAUGCUGAAGCAGAGUUACGUUUUUUUUGUUGUUGUUUUUUUUGUUUUUGUUUUUUUAGGUUUCCGUGUGUUUCUAUUGAGCUGCUCAGUGCCCGGCUUAGAAGACCAGGAAAAGGAGUCACAGGUCGUAUGCUGGAGGCUUGAGCCGCGGCACCGUGGCGCGGCUCGCCUCGCUGCGGUUGGUGGUGGCGGUGGACAUUGCAGCGCGGCUGGAGGGGUAGGAAGAAGAAGAUAGUUUUGGGAUAGAUAGAGGGUCCUUAGACAAGGUGCAAGACAAACAGAAGAGGGCAUGUGGGGUCAAACUCGCUAGCUGCCUGCCUGAUUUUUCUGCACACAGGUGAGAUAUUCCUGCACAUCCUCUGGUGACCCCAGAAUGAGGGGGACUCGCUGGUGAAUUGCCUCGGGCUUCACGUCCAGUACAGGCUGGGUCCCCGUGGUCGCCAAGCCUCCUGCCUGCUCAAUGAUGUAGGCCACGGGAUUGCAUUCAUACAGGAGCCGGAGCUGUGGAGGAACAGAGGCAGGUUCCUUGGGAUUUUCUACAUAGACCAUCAUGUCGUCUGCAAGAACAGUGUUAUUACCUGCUUUCCAAUCUGUAUGUGUUUCAUCAUCUUCCUUGCCUUAUUGUGCUGGCUACAACUUUCAGGAUUACAUAUGUUGGGUAACAGUGGCGAGUGAGGACAUCCUUGCUUUGUUACUGAUCUUAGAGUAUAAGCAUUCAGUCUUUCACCAUUAAAUGUAAUGCUAGCUGUAGAUGUACUUGAUAGAGUUAAGGGACGCUCCUCCUCUAUUUCUUGUUUUCUAAGACUUUCUGUUUUUUCAGAGACAGGGUCUUGCUCUGUUGCCCAGGGUGGAGUGCAGUGGCUUGGUCAUGGCUCACUGCAGCCUCCAACUCCUGGGCUUAAGUCAUCCUCCCAUCUCAACUUCUUGAGUAGCUGGGACUACGGGUAUGCACUACCACCCCCCUCUCCAGCUAAUGUCUUUUUUGAGAUGGGGGUCUUGCUAUGUUGCCCAGGCUGGUCUCAAACUCCUGGCCUCAAGCAAUCCUCCUACCUCAGCAAGUUUCUUUUUUAAAUAAUGAAUGAGUGUUGAAUUUGUUCAAAUGUUUUUUCUCCAUCAAUAGAUACGAUUAUGUGAUUUUUCUUCUUUAGCCUGUUGAUAUGGUGGAUUACACUGACUGAUUAUGAAUACUGGAUCAGUCUUCCAUCACCAGAAUAAACCCCACUCAGCCAUGGUGUAUAAUUUAUUUUAUGUAUUGUUGAAUUCUAUUUGCCAAUAUUUUGUUAAGAGUUUUUGCAUUUAUUGAUAAGGAAUAUUGGUCUGUGGUAUUUUUUUGAACAAUCUUUGUCUGGUUUUUGUAUCAGGAUAACACUGGUUUCAUAAAAUGAAUUGGGAAGUGUUCCUUCCUAUUAUCUUUUCUGGAAGAGACUGAAUAAUCUGUGAAUAUUUGUUAUGUUUUUCCAGUAAACCAUCUGAGCCUGGAGAUUUCUUUUCUUGGGCAUGAGUUUCUUAAUAGUAUUGAGCCCUGUAGAUAGCCAUUCAAAGUAUCUAUUUUAUAUUGGGUGAGUUAGAGUAUUGUAGUUUUUGAGACAUUGGUUCGUUUCAUCUAAGUUGUCAAAUGUAUGCAUGUGGAGUUGUUUCUAAUAUUCUCUUUUUAUCCUUUUGAAAAACAAGGCAACCUGAGAUUAACAAUCUACUGCAUAAAUACACAAUUCUCUGAUCAUUUUCCCAAGAUAAAUUCCCAAUAAUUAAAUAAUUGGGUAAAAAUCUUUUGAUACAUAUUGAAAAAUUGUCCUCCAGAAAGAGUGCAUCAAUUUAUACUUUUACCACUAAUAAUAAGAGAGUUCAUUUUAAUUCAGCCUGGUAAACACAAGAUAGCAUUGUCUUUUCAACUUUGUCAAUUUGACAGGUGGACAAAAUGACAUCUCUUUUGUUUUAACUUCUAUUUUUUAUGAGUCAGGUAAAACCUUUUAUAUGUUUAUUUUGACCAUUUUUAUUUUGUAAGUUGUCUCUUUCAUGUCUUGCUUAUUUUUCUAUCAGGAUAUUCAACUUCUUGUUUAUUUUAAUAGCUCUUUAUAUAUAAAGGAUAUUAAUGUCUUGUAUAUGUCACAAAUAUUUUCCUCGAUUGUCAUUGCCUUCUUAUUUAUGGUGCCUGUUUUUGCAGUGCAGUUUUAAAAUUAAAAUUAUUCAUGACAUUCCA
rnacentral:lncRNA from 1 species